rnacentral:rRNA from 1 species
CACGUAGGGUGCGAGCGUUGUCCGGAAUUAUUGGGCGUAAAGAGCUCGUAGGCGGUGUGUCGCGUCGGCCGUGAAAACCUGCAGCUUAACUGUGGGCUUGCGGUCGAUACGGGCAUCACUGGAGUUCGGGCAGGGGAGACUGGAAUUCCGUGGUGAUAGCGGUGAAAUGCGCAGAUAUCAGGAGGAACACCGGUGGCGAAGGCGGGUCU